GGUAGAUGCGUGCCAGAGGCGGGGGUACGUCGUAGGGUGCAAUGGGUAAUCGGAAUUAAUGGGCGGAAGGCGUGGGUAGGCGGUUCGGAAAGAAAGAUGUGAAAUCCCAGGGCUCAACCUUGGAACUGCAUGUUUAACUGCCGAGCUAGAGUAUGUCAGAGGGGGGUAGAAUUCCACGGGUAGCAGGGAAAUGCGUAGAUAUGUGGAGGAAUACCGAUGGCGAAGGCAGCCCCCUGGGAUAAUACUGACGCUCAGACACGAAAGCGUGGGGAGCAAACAGGAUUAGAUACCCCAGUAGUC
rnacentral:rRNA from 1 species